GGCCCCGCCUGCCCUGUGACAAUAGUUUAACGGCCGCGGUAUUUUAACCGUGCGAAGGUAGCGUAAUCACUUGUCUUUUAAAUGGAGACCAGUAUGAAUGGCAUCACGAGGGCUUAACUGUCUCCCCUCUCCAGUCAAUGAAAUUGACCUUCCCGUGCAGAGGCGGGAAUAUUAAUAUAAGACGAGAAGACCCUGUGGAGCUUUAGACCUAAAAUACACCACGUCUAGUAUACUAUAACACCAGUAAAAGCCUAGUGGUUACAUAUUGAAGUGUCUUUGGUUGGGGCGACCGCGGGGUAAAACACAACCCCCUUGUGGACUGGGGAUAUUAUCCCUAAUACUCAGAGCCUCUACUCCAAGUAACAGAAAUUCUGACUUUCUGAUCCGGUAUUACCGAUCAACGAACCGAGUUACCCCAGGGAUAACAGCGCAAUCCCCUCUCAGAGCCCUUAUCGACGAGGGGGUUUACGACCUCGAUGUUGGAUCAGGACAUCCUAAUGGUGCAGCCGCUAUUAAGGGUUCGUUUGUUCAACGAUUAAAGUCCUACGUGA
rnacentral:rRNA from 1 species